CUCGGAGCUUGGCUGGGGCUCCUGGGGAGGGCCGUGGCUCCUCCUCACCCGCUGGGGAGCCAGGAGUUCCGUGAGUGGUUGAAGCCCUGCUGGGAGGGUUGGGCGUUUCCAGCCAUUCUCACACGGCUUCUCAGCCGGGGUCUCCCACCCCGGCCCUGGCCCUGGGCCUGCCCUCACUGCCUCCUCCCCAUCCCCUACCCCUAGAGGCCUCCUGCCCUGGUCACCUACGCGUCACCUAAGCCCCGAGGCCAGGCGGCUUCUUGUCUACUAAAGACUUCCGGAGAGAGGCAUUCACCCUGUGGUCAGAGCUGGGGUUUCCAUGGAGGAGCACCACAGCCAUAAAGAAAGGCUGGUGAGCCCCAGAGCGGAGGACCCUGCCGAGCUGUUUCCAGACUCCUGAUCCACAGAAACCGUGAGAGGAUAACAUUGUUCUGCUUGAAGCCACUACACCUGCCGUCACUUGUCUCGCAUCAUUAGGGAACCAACGUGCUCUGGAAGACAGCAACUCUCAGGGUCCAUUCCGCUGACACCAGCGCCUCAGAUGACACAGGACGUGGCAUGGUGGCUAUUGACUCAUCAAGGGAACAGCAAUGGUAACAACAAAACCUGGUUGUUCAGAAGUCACACACUCAAGGCCCUACGGGGCCAAGAGGGGUCCAGGAGCAGCCCAGUGAGCGGGGCAGGGGAGGGGUGCAGUCCACCCAGGACCCGUGCUGCCCACAGGCUGCUGCUGUGCUCGGAGAGGGCCUGCCACAUGUGUCCGCAGAGAGAAUCCGGGAAUGCAAAUUUCUAAGCGAAUUUCUCCAUACUUCAAUGUUUGACAAUCAGUAAUUUUUCUUUGUAAUUGAUUUUUUAAAUGUGAAACUCUUUUCAGGCAAACAAAACACACUUGCAGGCUGCCAUUACACAAUUUUGUUUUAAUCAUUUUAAGGUCUUCAUUGUCUUUUACACAAAAGCUGGGAAUAUUCUCCCUCUUUCCAGAAUUCAACUGGUUUAGUGACUAGGAAGAUAUUUUGUAAUACAUUUUUUUAAAAAAGAAAACCAUGAAGGAAUAUUUCAAAUAAGAAGCUGACUAGCUUAAAUUAAUAGCUGUUAAGUAUUAAAUAUGAUGUGCUUUCUCUUAAACUAGGCCACUCUGCACCUUGCAUUCCUAUCCUUUUUUGGGCUUCAGAUCAGAAAUCGCAACUUUUGCGUGGAGAUCCUGGGCCUCCACACUGCUGGCCUCCCAUCGUCCCAAGAAUGACUCCCUGGAAAGAGCCUGUUCAGACCCUUUGUGACUGGACUCUACUGUAAGAGGAGAAUCAAAUGCUUGCAAGAAAACUGUAAAGCAGAGUUUCCUAAAAUACAUUUCAUAAGCGUGAGUGCCAGGAGUGCCUUAAAAAUGUGACUCUAUUGUCAAAUAAGUUGGGCAAUUUACUGAAGUAUACAUGAAUAUGUUAAAACCUCCAAGGAGUCCUGAAUUUAAAACAAACCUACACACAAAAACAAAGAACAGGGUGCCUGCUCGCUCAUCACACAGGUUGGAUAAGAUCGACAGGAAAAACCCCUCCAACAGCACAGCAGAGCAGCACAGAGCCCUGCCUCUCUCCAGCUGGGGAAGUCGGGAGCUGAAGUGGAAAGCUGGUUGAAGAACAAUGUGAAAAAAAUGAGGCCUGACUCAAUUCCUAAAAGCGGCUGCCUGACCUUAUGCAAGCCACAGCUUCUAUUUACAAACCCAGGAAACUGGACAAAAUACUGAAAGGAUCCCCUAAGAUAAUGAGAGUUAACAACAGAUGCAAAGCAAGGUUCUGUGGAAAUGUAAGGUCGUGUUACCACGCAGGGCUGAAAAGCUUUCCUGACUACUUUCUGAUUUGCGUAUACUAAGGACUAUUUCAAGAGGGUGACAUUUUAUGAAUUAAAGGCAUGCCACUUCCAUUCACAGUGCUGUUCUGAGAGAUUCGAUUCUGUCCUUGACAAUCUAAGAAAAUCUUAACUCUGCAUUAUGUAAAUACUAAGGACACGGGGUGUUUCGAAUGAGACCAACCUCGUAUCUCUCUCAACUCCCUCUCCUCCCGGGGCCACCCUUUUCUUUAAUUGAAAGCACAAUAAACUUAAUCAGCUGCUCCUAACGAUGCCUGCCCCAGCCUGGGAGAUUCAGCAAGGCUUGGGGCGUGCAUGACAAAGAAACACACACUCCAGAAUCUCACUUUUGUUAUUCCCCAGCCAUCUUUUGUUAUGUGGCAUGGGAAAAAUCUUAAUGAGCCUGCCCUGCUGCUGCAGAAAUUCUUGUCAGAUGAAAAGCAGCCCCUCCUUCCACCUGGCAAGGGCUUACAGAGAACACAGCAGCCCACAUCUACUCACGUUUCCUGAAACAAUCCCCUAUUUAACUUCCUAGGCAACAGAAAAUCUGAAGAAAAUGAGAUACCACAGAAGAUGAAUUUGAUGUAACAAAAAGGUGUUUUAAAAAGAUAAGUAGAGAGGCCAUCCUACAAAAUUUCAUGGCUGACAAUGGUAAAAAAGAUGCAGAAAAGGACCAUCUGGCCUGAAAAAUUCAGCCGGGGUCGGGGGAGGGGGUCCCGCAGCAGAGGCCAGGCCUUCAAGGAUGGGGAUCCUCUUCUGUCUUCCUUUUCUCAAAAUGUUUGUUGGAUGAUGGACUUAAUUUUAAAACCCCAAGUCACUGCGGUUUAGCCAGCUAUGGAUGAUGAAAGCACUACAAUCAUUGAAACUGACAAGGAGGCAGUUUCCUUCAAAAAUACGAAAACUGUACGCAGAGUACAUGGAGAAAAAUGUGACACAAGCAUUUGGACACACUACUAAACAACAACAUGGGACAAUAUAGACAACAAUUGGAAAUACACUUUGAGGAGGUAAAAAGUUCAGUAUUCACUGGCUUCCUUUUGGAGGUUGUUAAAUUGCUGAAAUUCAAAUAAAAGUCAUUGAGCCAUUGUGUCUGUCAGCUGUGCCUCUAUCUCACCCCCGGGUGGGUGGAGGUCCCCCUGGCUUUAUUCUCUGUGUUGUUGCUGCAGAUCCAGAUUCAGGAUUCCGCCCUGAAGGUCUGCGUUCCCUCCCGAGACAGCCUCUGUUUCAAAAUGCACAGCCAUUCUUGACAGACAAGAAAGGGAUGUUGAAAAACAAGUCAUGCUUUGGAUUCGUGUGGCUUUGAGAUACAGAACGAAUGAAUUAUUUCCUGCCUGGCCCAGAACACUUUGCCUCGGUACAGGAGUGUCAAGGCAGAGUGGGUGGGGAAGAUGAAGGGUGAGGGAAGCAAUUGCAAUUAAAAUCCAUAAGGAGCCGGAGAAGGUGGUGCUCAUAGAUGGAUCCCCUAACUGAGUUUAGAGGGCACAGGAGGAGGCGAAGGGAAGCAGUCUUUCAUAUAUGUGACUUAGGAAAUAUAUAAGGAUUGUGUAUUUUACGGCACUUAUGAGAUGGGAUAAUUCCUUGACUCUUUCAUGGGUAGGAACUGGAGUGCACCUCUGGGUCCAGUUGGCCACUUCAGCACUAGCAGGGACGAACUUCAAUCACUUGAACCUGCUGGACUCAACCCCUCAUGGGAGGGAGCACAUAGGCGAGUGGGUGCUGGGACCCUGGCAAGGGC
rnacentral:lncRNA from 10 species